rnacentral:tRNA from 1 species
GCCGGAGUAGCUCAACGGUAGAGCAACUGUUUUGUAAACAGUAGGUUGGGGGUUCGAUUCCUCUCUCCGGCU